rnacentral:sRNA from 1 species
CUUUCCCUUUUUGUUUUCUGUUAUUCU